rnacentral:lncRNA from 1 species
CUAGCUAAUGGACACCACAUUAGGCCACCAACUUCUCAUGCUCAUGGAUACCUUCUCGGAUCAUAAUCAAAUCUAGAUGGUGCCUGAGGACAAAAAGAAUAUCACAUUUACCACUGAUAAUGGUCUUUUUUUUUAUAGGGUCAUGCCCUCAGCUUGAAAAAUGAGGAGCAAUCUAUUAAAGACUAGUGAAUAAGAUCUUUAAGGAGCGGAUUAGCAAGAAUGUGGAGGUCUACAUGGAUGACAU